AACUAGGUUUUCUUGAAGCAUGAUUUGACUUAAGCAUAUGGAUGAUUCGAAAUAAUAAUUUAUUUGAAAUCAAGAUUUUUGCAUUGGCUUUGUAAUUUGAAUCAAGAAAGUGUGUGAUUUGAAUCAUCAAACACUUUAAUAUGAAUCAUAACAAUGUAUGACUCGAAUAAUGAUUAGACAAACUUUUUGAAAACAACAAUGAUUUGAAUCAUGUGAUUUCUUGAUUCAAAUAACAUGUAUCCAUUCAUGAUCCAAAU
rnacentral:lncRNA from 1 species